GGUAUGGGAUGAGCUUGCGUCCGAUUAGCUAGUUGGCGGGGCAACGGCCCACCAAGGCGACGAUCGGUAGCCGGCCUGAGAGGGUGAUCGGCCACAUUGGGACUGAGAUACGGCCCAGACUCCUACGGGAGGCAGCAGUAGGGAAUAUUGCGCAAUGGGGGGAACCCUGAUGCAGCAACGCCACGUGUGGGAAGAAGCAUUUCGGUGUGUAAACCACUGUCAUGAGGGAAUAAGGCCUAUUUUCGGAUAGGAUUGAAUGUACCUUGAGAGGAAGCACCGGCAAACUUCGUGCCAGCAGCCGCGGUAAUACGAGGGGUGCAAGCGUUGUUCGGAAUUACUGGGCGUAAAGGGAGCGUAGGCGGAGAUUCAAGCGGAUUGUACAAUCCCGGGGCCCAACCCCGGCUCUGCAGUCCGAACUGGAUCUCUUGGAUAGUUCAGGGGCAGGC
rnacentral:rRNA from 1 species